rnacentral:tRNA from 1 species
AUUUAUAUAGUUUAUAUUUUUAAAAAUGUUAAUUUGUGAAAUUAAAGAAUUUAGAUA